AGCAGGAGCAGAGCCCGGGCCCUCACGUGCUGCAGCGCCGGGACACCGGGGGUGACACCGGGGACACUCUGGGCUGUCCCGAGGCCGAGUGUUUCCGGCUGAGCUGCCCCUCGGGGGGGCUGGAGCGGCAGCAAAGGGUCAGUCUGCGCUUGACCUUCCGCCUGAGGACCCCCCCUCUGCGCCAGCGGGAUCUGGGCUCCCUGUCCCUGCGCUGUGACGCCGAGUUCCGAGUGCUGCAGCUCCCGUACCGCGUGCGGCCCGAGAGCUACCCCCGCCACCGC